rnacentral:ncRNA from 1 species
AAGGUGAAUCCCGAAAAGCCUGUAAUAGAGUAGGGA